AUGGUUGCUUUCACGAGUGCGGUAGACGGCCCUGAAGCAUGCCUGCAUGCAUCUUCGAUGGCGCCGUUUACCACCAUUUUCCUCUUCUUUCCUUUCAGCCUUCCAUUUCAGCCAAGCAUCCCUCGCGCGUGUAUGCGUGCUGACUGGUGUGAGGCAAAAUGGCAUCCCUCGCGCGUGUAUGCGUGUUAUAGGGUUUGUAAUCGUAUUGUUUCUUUCCUUAUUGUUCCUUUUGUUGAGGUAUCUUUGUUUGUGUUGAAUCAAUCAAUCCCCCUUAUUUACCUUCUUUCAUUACAUAUAUAA
rnacentral:rRNA from 1 species